rnacentral:rRNA from 1 species
UACGGGGGGGGCAAGCGUUGUUCGGAAUUACUGGGCGUAAAGGGCUCGUAGGUGGCCAACUAAGUCAGACGUGAAAUCCCUCGGCUUAACCGGGGAACUGCGUCUGAUACUGGAUGGCUUGAGUUUGGGAGAGGGACGCGGAAUUCCAGGUGUAGCGGUGAAAUGCGUAGAUAUCUGGAGGAACACCGGUGGCGAAGGCGGCGAUCUGGGUAGAUACUGACGCUGAGGUGCGAAAGCGUGGGGAGCAAACAGG